UACGAAGGGGGCUAGCGUUGCUCGGAAUUACUGGGCGUAAAGCGCACGUAGGCGGUCUUUUAAGUCGGGGGUGAAAUCCUGGAGCUCAACUCCAGAACUGCCUUCGAUACUGGGAAGCUCGAGUCCGGGAGAGGUGAGUGGAACUGCGAGUGUAGAGGUGAAAUUCGUAGAUAUUCGCAAGAACACCAGUGGCGAAGGCGGCUCACUGGCCCGGUACUGACGCUGAGGUGCGAAAGCGUGGGGAGCAAACAGG
rnacentral:rRNA from 1 species